GCUCACGUAGCUUAAUUAAAGCAUAACAUUGAAGCCGUUAAGAUGGUCCCUGAAAAGACCCGUAAGCA